rnacentral:misc_RNA from 1 species
ACAACCCUCAGGCCCUGGUGCCUGGUGUUGGGGCACUACAGCAUGCUGUAGGCUCUGAAAUCCAGUGGCGGGACCGCUGUAAACCCGGGCGUAGUAACUUUCCGUCGUCCAGGGUGUUCCGGCGCGCCCCAGCCGUUAAACCCACCACAUUAUCAA